rnacentral:rRNA from 1 species
UACAGAGGCCUCGAGCGUUAAUCGGAAUUACUGGGCGUAAAGGGCUCGUAGGCGGCCAACUAAGUCAUACGUGAAAUCCCUCGGCUUAACCGGGGAACUGCGUCUGAUACUGGAUGGCUUGAGAUUGGGAGAGGGAUGCGGAAUUCCAGGUGUAGCGGUGAAAUGCGUAGAUAUCUGGAGGAACACCGGUGGCGAAGGCGGCAUCCUGGACCAACACUGACGCUGAGGAGCGAAAGCCAGGGGAGCAAACGGG